CCACCACAAGCCGGUAGGAUUUGUUCUUCGAUUCUUCAAUUAAACAAUAAAUUAAGCCAAGGAAAUAAAACUAGAAUCUAACGUAAGGUUAGAUCCGAUAAAAAGUUGCACAAUAGUUUCCGGUGUAGAAACUAUUAUGCGAAAAAUAUCUAAAUGCUAAAAAGGGAAAGGUAAAUUGCAAGGGAAAAAGAAUGUAGAACUUGCAAAAGAAAUAAAAUAAACAAUGUUAAGUGCUGGAAAAGAAAAAUAAGCAAAAGCGUAAAAAGAAAGAAAAUUGGCAAAGCUUCGGCAAUGUGAGCGUGGAAAAACCGAGGAGCCCUUUUAGGUUUUUGAGAUAGCUAUUUAUAUUGGUGCUCGUAACUGCUUUCCGUUUCCCAAGUUCUUCAACGUGGCUAAAUGCACGGCGUGGAUAUAGGACACAAACUCCUCAACGUCUCUUCUUCAAGUCUUCUGAGGGCGUUACUUGCGCCAAAAAAGUAGUGGAACGGUGUGACGCUCGUCACACCAUGUGUGACGUCCGUCACAAGGUUGUUUUGCGUGACGCUCGUCACACACCCUGUGACGUCCGUCACAGGCACAACAUUGGUGACUUGUGCGCUUUGGGCUGGGCUUUGGCAUUUGAUUCCUUUU
rnacentral:lncRNA from 1 species